AGAGUUUGAUCAUGGCUCAGGACGAACGCUGGCGGCGUGCUUAACACAUGCAAGUCGAACGGUGAAGCCCUUCGGGGUGGAUCAGUGGCGAACGGGUGAGUAACACGUGGGCAAUCUGCCCUGCAUUCUGGGACAAGCCUUGGAAACGAGGUCUAAUACCGGAUACGACGCAUCUCCGCAUGGGGUGUGCGUGGAAAGCUCCGGCGAUGCAGGAUGAGCCCGCGGCCUAUCAGCUUGUUGGUGGGGUAAUGGCCUACCAAGGCGACGACGGGUAGCCGGCCUGAGAGGGCGACCGGCCACACUGGGACUGAGACACGGCCCAGACUCCUACGGGAGGCAGCAGUGGGGAAUAUUGCACAAUGGGCGAAAGCCUGAUGCAGCGACGCCGCGUGAGGGAUGACGGCCUUCGGGUUGUAAACCUCUUUCAGCAGGGAAGAAGCGCGAGUGACGGUACCUGCAGAAGAAGCACCGGCUAACUACGUGCCAGCAGCCGCGGUAAUAC
rnacentral:rRNA from 1 species